rnacentral:rRNA from 1 species
AGAGUUUGAUUAUGGCUCAGGAUGAACGCUGGCGGCGUGCUUAACACAUGCAAGUCGAACGAGGUCCAACCUUCGGGUGAAGACCGAGUGGCGAACGGGUGAGUAACACGUGGGGAACCUGCCCUUCUCUCUGGGAUAACCUCGGGAAACCGAAGCUAAUACCGGAUACUCCUUGCGGACCGCAUGGUCUGCUCGGGAAAGCUCCGGCGGAGAAGGAUGGCCCCGCGGCCCAUUAGCUUGUUGGUGGGGUAACGGCCCACCAAGGCGACGAUGGGUAGCCGAGCUGAGAGGCUGAUCGGCCACACUGGGACUGAGACACGGCCCAGACUCCUACGGGAGGCAGCAGUGGUGAAUCUUGCGCAAUGGGCGAAAGCCUGACGCAGCAACGCCGCGUGCGGGAUGAAGGCUCUCGGGUCGUAAACCGCUUUCAGCAGGGAUGAAAAUGACAGUACCUGCAGAAGAAGCCCCGGCUAAAUACGUGCCAGCAGCCGCGGUAAUACGUAUGGGGCAAGCGUUAUCCGGAUUCAUUGGGCGUAAAGCGCGCGUAGGCGGCUUGUUAAGUCAGGCGUGAAAUCCGGGGGCUCAACCCGCGGCUUGCGUCUGAAACUGGCAGGCUUGAGUCUGGUAGAGGAAAGUGGAAUUCCUGGUGUAGCGGUGAAAUGCGCAGAUAUCAGGAGGAACACCAGUGGCGAAGGCGGCUUUCUGGGCCACGACUGACGCUGAGGCGCGAAAGCUAGGGGAGCGAACAGGAUUAGAUACCCUGGUAGUC